GAUCAUUACAGUAUUCUUUUGCCAGCGCUUAACUGCGCGGCGAAAAACCUUACACACAGUGUCUUUUUGAUACAGAACUCUUGCUUUGGUUUGGCCUAGAGAUAGGUUGGGCCAGAGGUUUAACAAAACACAAUUUAAUUAUUUUUACAGUUAGUCAAAUUUUGAAUUAAUCUUCAAAACUUUCAACAACGGAUCUCUUGGUUCUCGCAUCGAUGAAGAACGCAGCGAAAUGCGAUAAGUAAUAUGAAUUGCAGAUUUUCGUGAAUCAUCGAAUCUUUGAACGCACAUUGCGCCCUCUGGUAUUCCAGAGGGCAUGCCUGUUUGAGCGUCAUUUCUCUCUCAAACCCCCGGGUUUGGUAUUGAGUGAUACUCUUAGUCGGACUAGGCGUUUGCUUGAAAAGUAUUGGCAUGGGUAGUACUGGAUAGUGCUGUCGACCUCUCAAUGUAUUAGGUUUAUCCAACUCGUUGAAUGGUGUGGCGGGAUAUUUCUGGUAUUGUUGGCCCGGCCUUACAACAACCAAACAAGUUUGACCUCAAACCAGGUAGGAAUACCCACUGAACUUAAGCAUAUCAAUAAGCGGAGGA
rnacentral:rRNA from 1 species